UAGAGGAUGCUUCUGGGCAGCGGCCGCUCUAAGUUCCUUGGAACAGGACGUCAUAGAGGGUGAGAAUCCCGUAUGCGACCGGUUGGCACCCGUCACGUAGCUCCUUCGACGAGUCGAGUUGUUUGGGAAUGCAGCUCUAAAUGGGUGGUAAAUUCCAUCUAAAGCUAAAUACCGGCCAGAGACCGAUAGCGCACAAGUAGAGUGAUCGAAAGAUGAAAAGCACUUUGGAAAGAGAGUUAAAAAGCACGUGAAAUUGUUGAAAGGGAAGCGCAUGCAACCAGACUUGUCGGCGGUGUUCCGCCGGUCUUCUGACCGGUCUACUCGCCGCCGGCAGGCCAGCAUCGUUUGGGUGCGCCGGAUAAAGGCGCCGGGAAUGUGGCCCUUCGGGGUGUUAUAGCCCGGCGCACAAUACGGCGCCGCCCGAGCGAGGUCCGCGCUUCGGCUAGGAUGCUGGCGUAAUGGUUGUCUGCGGCCCGUCUUGAAACACGGACCAAGGAGUCUAACAUCUAUGCGAGUGUUCGGGUGUCAAACCCCUACGCGGAAUGAAAGUGAACGGAGGUGGGAACCCUCACGGGUGCACCAUCGACCGAUCCUGAUGUCUUCGGAUGGAUUUGAGUAAGAGCAUAGCUGUUGGGACCCGAAAGAUGGUGAACUAUGCCUGAAUAGGGUGAAGCCAGAGGAAAGGGUGGUGGAG
rnacentral:rRNA from 1 species